CAAUAGCGUAUAUUAAAGUUGUUGCGGUUAAAAAGCUCGUAGUUGGAUUUCUGUUGGGAACGACCGGUCCGCCCACUGGGUGUGUAUCUGGCUUGUUCUCGGCAUCUUCUUGGUGAACGUUGCUGCACUUGACUGUGUGGAGCGCUACCCAGGACUUUUACUUUGAGGAAAUUAGAGUGUUUCAAGCAGGCAUAUGCCUUGAAUACAUUAGCAUGGAAUAAUAAGAUAGGACCUCGGUUCUAUUUUGUUGGUUUCUAGAGCUGAGGUAAUGAUUAAUAGGGAUAGUUGGGGGCAUUCGUAUUUAACUGUCAGAGGUGAAAUUCUUGGAUUUGUUAAAGACGGACUACUGCGAANGNAUUUGCNAAGGAUGUUUNCAUUG
rnacentral:rRNA from 1 species